rnacentral:rRNA from 1 species
GAUGAACGCUGGCGGCGUGCUUAACACAUGCAAGUCGAACGAUGAAGCGCAGCUUGCUGGGUGGUUUAGUGGCGAACGGGUGAGUAACACGUAAGUAACCUGCCCUUAACUCUGGGAUAAGCCUGGGGAACUGGGGCUAAUAACGGCAAGCGACGUCCACCGCAUGGCGGGUGUUGGACAGAUUUAGCGGUUUUGGAUGGACUCGCGGCCUAUCAGCUUGUUGGUGGGGUAAUGGCCUACCAAGGCGACGACGGGUAGCCGGCCUGAGAGGGUGACCGGCCACACGGCGACUGCGGGACGGAGCAGACUGGUACGGGAGGCAGUAGGGGGGAAUAUGGCACAAUGAGGGCAAGCGUGAGACAGCGGCGUCGCGUUUGGGAUGACCGCUUGUGCGGUGUGAACCUCUUGCAGCAGAGACGAAGCGAGAGUGACGGUACCGGCAGAAGAAGCACCGGCUAACUACGUG